GACCUGGUAGCUCAGUUGGUAGUGCGGUGGGACGGAAUCCCUAAGUUGGGAGUUCAAUCCUCACUCAGGUUC